CCAACAUUUUUGAUCAAAUCAAUUACUUCCUUUACCUCUCCAGCCUCUUUUCCAAGCUCUCUUUCAACAGCUACUCUUCUCUGAAUGACAAAUUUCCAUUUUGCAGCACCAUCUUCUAAAUGAAAGGAGAUAUUAUCUAGGUGCACUGCAGCAGUUUUGCCAGGAGACUUCUUAACAGCCUGCCUCUUUGCAGGGGAGAUGUCUGGGACAUCGUCUUU
rnacentral:lncRNA from 1 species